ensembl:lncRNA
CUCAAGAAAUGCUUGUCAGCUGAAUCUGCAGAGCCACGGAAAUCAUGGCUUUGUAAGUCCCUCUGGGCCCACAUCUGCAUGUCCUUGAAACCCCAGAGAGGCCCUUCAUACCUUCUUGGGUUCAGGCACGACUUGGGUUUCUACACCACCUCCAGGCAGAUGUCCCCUUCCUCUUACAGAGGAAGUGGUGUGGCAGAUGAGAGGAGAGGCAUAGCGAUGUCAAUCAACUUGUCGAAGGUCACCCGCAUACAGCUGAGUAUGGUAUUGGAGAUUUGAACCCAGACUCCUCUGUAACUAUUGUGUGUCCCGCCAGGAAGCCUGCCAGCGUCUCACCCGCAUAAAGAAACCGGUGGAAGAUGAGCUGCAUACACCUAUUUGCCAUGAACGUUUGCAUUCUCGGGGAAGAGGACCUGGGUCCUUCCACGACCCAUCCCUAACAGGCUCUCCCUGCAGUUUGGGGGAAGUUGACUGAUGAGAACUGUGUAGGAUUCGCCAACACCAGGGGCAGCCCGGAAAGCCAGGACUGGACAGCAGUAACAGAGGCGGAGGGGAGGGAAGGUGGGCUUGCCGACCAAGGACCCCCGGGCCCAUGGCCCACCUCACUAUCUCUGCCAAUACAAACAGAAAUCUAUUUUUAUUUAUUAGGGAUUUUGUUUUGUUUUGUUUUGUUUUGUUUUGCUUUGGGGUAGUCACUGGUCUACUCAAGAAAUUUAAUUGGGACUCUAAUGAGUAGGUAUUAUUUUUAUAAGCCAAAAUCCUAUAUAUUUUAUAAAGUUGGAUACUCCCCCUAAUAAAACAAAUAAUUGUAUUUGGGAGCAAAGAUUUAUAGUUACAAAAAAAAUGGUCUCCCUUGAAUGUCUGAAACUUUCACCGCAGAGCGGCCUUUCCGAACGGGAGGAAGGGUCCUUUAGUUUCGCAGUAGAGGGUCUCCUCCGAGCACCAUGAGGAGAAGAGGCUCGGGGUGGGGCAGCCUCUCUCAGGAGAGGCCUCUUCAGCGUCCCUUGUGGCUGUACCUCAGCUUCCCACUCUGUGAAAUAAGACUCUUGUUUGUUCCACCCGUGGGGGUGAGGUGAUGGGAGGAGAAGGGAGCAGCAUUGUGGGCUCCAGCCAUCGAAGAGGCAGGGGAAGCACCAAGAAUAUUAGCAGCCAUGGAGGAUGCUUCCCCCGGCACGUCCACACCCGGGGAAUACCCUCCUGCCACUGGCCCUGAGGGUCUCCUCAUCCCCUUGGAAGUUACAGGUAAACCGCGUUGUUUCUCUCCUCCCCCCAGUAAUUGGGACUUUACACCUGGGCUUCCUCCUUUAUCUUGUACUCUUAAAAUACACAAACAAAAGAUAAACAACUGCAAAUCCCAAAUAAACACUCCACAUACAGUAUAAAGAAAAAGGGAGGGGCUGAGGGGUCGAGGCCCUCAGGAGCCCGUCCUAUGAGCUGACAGGAAGAGGGAGGGGCUGAGAGGAGAUCUUGGUGAGAAUUGGGAGCAAGAAGAAAGGCUCAGAAGGAGUCAGAUCUGCCUGGAGCAGGGUCCUCUCUGAGCGCUGGUGGAGACUGUGGUACCUGGAGGUUAUACACUCACAGAAAGGCCUCUCAGAGGCCUCUGGGCUGGGACCGCUCACUGGGGUGGCCCAUUCCUGAAGCGCUGUGGUCCAGGACCGAGAAAGGAGUGUCUACGGCCUUCUGCCUGCAGAGUGCCUCCGUGCGUCUCCCCUCCCUCCUGGGCUCGCUGUGAGGCAGGAAAGUUUGUCCUUGAUUAGUAAUGAUCAACCUUAACAUUCACUAGGUUAAGUAUUUGACUUUGCAUCCUGUAAUGCCAAAAGAAGUGCCCCCUUAGUCCUGAGAAAGAAGACAGGUGAAAAAUGAGGCUUUCCCUUUUAGGUCAAAGCAGGGGUUGCUAAUCCCUGGACUCAUCCCAGCAUUGUUUAGGAUUCUGGAAACAUCAGCAGGACUCGGCUCUUAGAGGAGAGGUCAUUUGGGAAAUCAUCACUUGUGGCUUCUCUUGUGGGACACCCACAGGGCCUUGGUUGGACCAGGGAGCCCUGACCGCUCAUGGAGGCAGAAUUGGGAGGGUGGGGGGCCCCAGGGCCGUCCCAGAGGGCAAGACUGUGAGGGCUGAGCUAUCCACUGAGGGGCUAGGCAACUCCUGUACUGUAGUGGACACAUGGCCUUGGGCCAGAGGCUGCACGCAGGAGGCGGGCAAGAGGGACAAGGGGGCACAUGCCUCUGUGCUGGGGGAGGGGCAAACUCAGAAGCCAGACAUGCAAUGGGGACAAGAGAGGGAGGAUCUGGGGGGAGUUGGGGUGGUGGGCACUGGGACAGGACACCGACAUUAACUUUGGGCUGGGAGCUGAGAGCUGAGGCUGAGGGAGGAAGGUCAGAGACCUCACCUGUGGACAACUCACGCUUCUGCCUGGGCACAGUCCUGGCCAGUCUGCCUCAAACUUUGGGACCUGUUUAGGACGACUUCUCUCUCUCAAGCAUCUUGGGCCCCACUCACCGACCCACAGGCUCACAAGAGGGAGGCUGUGGGGCUGCCUCUUGGUGUGCACGUCACUCUGGAGGUGUAAACAUAUCUUGGCCUGUGGGACAUUCAGGUUAUCCUCAGUCCCCAAAUUUAAAACCACAUUGAAAGAAGGCGAAAAAAAAAAAAUUCCUGAGGAAGUAACGGACACAACAGCCAACUUCACUUACUGGCACCACUUGCAGUUACCAAGGAAUGUCAGGGUCUCUCCUUACAAGGAAGGACAAAGAAUGGAAAAGCACGUCCCUGGGGAGACUUGUGCCCAGCAGAAACGACCAGCCUACAGCUACCUUUCUCAGCUUCUAUCUGUCCAUUCUUUUAAAUUCGGGACCCCCAAGCUCCCCACCUGCCCACCACCAACCGCCUUCAGCCCCUCUCCCUCCAACAGUCAAGCUCCCCACCCAACCCCGCUCAGUUAUUCCAACUGCCUGAUCUCCUGGUACCAUUUUGGACCCUAGUGGUCUCAAUGGGUGGAGGAUGCAGGAGGUGAAAAUGAAGGGGGAGGUGAGAGAAAGGGCCUCUUCUCCCCUGCUCUGCCCAGGACUCGACUCAAGGAAUCAAAUAAAGCUUCCACCUUAAACAGAACUGUGACCCUGCAUGUUCACCGUGACAGAGGGAGGGGGAGGGGCCCUCCCUUCCACAGGACCCCGUCUGCCCCAUUCCCUUCUCUGGUGCGUGCUGGCCCACAUGUGGCCAGGGCAGCUCUCGGGGUCUCUCACCUGCCAGGAGGAGAUGGCGGAUGCCAAGGGGAGUUUUAGGAAGAAGAUUUAGGGGAAAGAACAGCUUUUUGAAACUGCUGCCUUGUCUUUACUUUGAAAUGCAUCACACGUGCACCAACGAUGUAAACGAAAAAAAAGGGAAAACAAACAAAUAGCCAAAGGAAAGAAUUUCUACAGGCAAGAUGAGUCGUGGCUCAGCGUGACUGUGCUAGUUCUCU